AAGUCACAUGGCUGGGCUGGCGGUUAUUGCUACUUCAUAACAAUUUAUUUAUUUAUUUACAGGUUACUGCUAGCCUGGGUGCCAGGCUUUGAGCAGGUGUGGGCGAUACAAAAGAAGAAAACAGGAUAACAUACAAGCAUAACAAUACACUUCUAAGGGUACACUUUGAACCGGAAAAAAAACCGGAACCGGAAUAUACUGUACAAGUGCUAUCGGUAGGAUAACAACUACUAUUGAAGACUAAAUCAUGCCGAAUUCAACAGGGCACGAAGAAAGGAUGAGACAUCAGAACAUUGCACAACAUUAGCAGGUCACCUUCAAAGCAACACGAAGAUGUCAGGGCAGCAGUUGAAGACAUGGAUGGGCACGACUCUACUGAAUAUAACAGUCCCUAGGAGCGUGUCAUGUACUGUUUUGUUAUAUCACAGCUUCUCUCUUUUGUACUAUCUGCCGAACUUGUCAAUACAUAUUUCUUCAAUGCUCUGUUCCAGUUUAUAUGUAAACCUAAACAUGCUUAUGUAUGUAUGCAAUAUCUAGUCACAGUGUGCAAUGUACGUGUUUUCUGCUUUGUUCUUGAAUAAAAAAAGAAUGUAUGCAA